AUAAUAUCACCAAACAUCGAGAAUCUCUUCCAAGGUCGUGAUACCAAACGCGUUGUAUCUCACCAUCUAUUCGAGGAAGAACAUGUCGUUCUUGAGGGUCUUCAUCUCGGUUGCGUCGUCUUGAAGGUUGUGACAAUCGCAAUGUCUCAUCCGGUAAGUCAGCAAACGAAGGUUCUUGAGUUGAAUCCGCUGGUUGUUGGCUCUCCAUCUAAUUAGCGUCACAAAAUGCAAAGAAAUUACAAACAAGGAUAGGAAAUUGAAUGUUAUCUUGCCUCAAUCUUGUCUCUUUUAUAAGAGAGGUUUUCAUCUUGGUUUUGAUGGAUGUCGUUGAUGAAAAACUUUGACUUUAGCUGAU
rnacentral:lncRNA from 1 species